rnacentral:rRNA from 1 species
UGGGGAAUAUUGGACAAUGGGGGCAACCCUGAUCCAGCCAUGCCGCGUGAGUGAUGAAGGCCCUAGGGUUGUAAAGCUCUUUCGGUGGGGAAGAUAAUGACGGUACCCACAGAAGAAGCCCCGGCUAACUUCGUGCCAGCAGCCGCGGUAAUACGAAGGGGGCUAGCGUUGCUCGGAAUCACUGGGCGUAAAGCGCACGUAGGCGGGUUCUUAAGUCAGGGGUGAAAUCCCGGAGCUCAACUCCGGAACUGCCUUUGAUACUGGGAAGCUUGAGUCCGGGAGAGGUGAGUGGAACUGCGAGUGUAGAGGUGAAAUUCGUAGAUAUUCGCAAGAACACCAGUGGCGAAGGCGGCUCACUGGCCCGGUACUGACGCUGAGGUGCGAAAGCGUGGGGAGCAAACA